rnacentral:lncRNA from 1 species
UACAGUUACAUGCAGAGUGUACCAGUAGUCGUUCAUGGGUAAUUGCAAAUCACUGCUAGCAAACCUCCAGAGUCAAUUAUUGACACCUGAACUGGACUCAUCAGUGUGCUCAUCAGAGGUGGUGAAGGUACCACAGAGGCCUGGCUCUCCUUCCCUUUGUGACUGAGCUUGGAUAUUGGGCAGGGGCUGAUAAGGCUGUGCUGCUACCCCUGUGGGCUGGGUGGAAGCUGCAUAUCCACCUGGCUCUCUGGAUGAGGCUCUUACUGUCUCUCAGGAAUCCACUGCCAAGAUAAUCCAGAAUUGACUGGUUUAUCUCUGAAACCUGUAAUUACUUUGCCUGAUGCGUUGGAGCUGCCACUUGACCCUGUCUCCAUCAUAAAAGAGCUUGUGAAACACACUGAAGGGAUGGACCAGUGCUGUUGUGUUAGAGAUACGUUGAUGGGCAGGAACGCGGUGAUGGGGAAGGCCUGCCCCUGCUGAUCAGGUUCUGAAGGAAAGCUGGCCUCUCACAUGGUCUACACUUCCUGGACCAAGGCAGAAGGAGCAGCCUUUAUCUGAUACAUGCUGGCUUCAUGAGCUGUGAUGGACAACAUGAUGGCCCUCAAGUUCAGAAGCAAUCACUCGCACAUCAUUGGUCAAACCAAGAUGGUUAGUGAAGCAAAGCCUUGGCCAGGUCUUCGCCCCUCCGCCCUCCCCAGAUGCGGAAUCCUCGCCCCUCCGCCCUCCCCAGACGCGGAAUCCUCGCCCCUCCGCCCUCCCCAGAACGCGGAAUCUUCAGGAGCUGACAGAAUGACUGGUAUUUUUCCCCCACAGAUUCAAGAUGUCUAAACUAAUCUCUUACUAAUCCUCUUAUUCUCCCAGCGAGUCCAGGAAAUCAGUGAGUUAAGCAUUGCAGAGCACACACGGUUUAUGAGAGCAAUAUGCUGGGAAAGAAGCUGGCUUGCAGAAAGAUUUCACCUGUGCUUUAUCUCAACACAGUUGCCAUAUUACAAAAAUGGCGCUUUGAGUUGGGUUACUGAUAAGGAAUAAAUUCAUCCUGACCUUACA